rnacentral:lncRNA from 1 species
UGAUGUUUUCAUUAAUGAUGAAGAUGAUAAUCCAAACGAUUUUGCUAAGUCCGAGUAUGUUGGGAGCUUUGCACAUUUGCCACACAAGGUUAAAGGUGACAUGAAAGUUAAGACUACUCAAACCUUUGAGUUGACUGAGAUUUUGGAGGACUUAGAUGUUGAAGAAGACGAUGCCCUGUUGGUGACUUUGGUGCCAAAGUCCAAAACUGCUCUUACCAUUGAUAGCAUCAAGAUUGAGGUUGCUGCUUGAUUCACCUGCUAGUACUUUUUUUUUUUUUUUUUUAAUCUCCUCCCUGGGAAAAAAUCUGGCAUUAGAUUUCAUCGAUUGCUUUGAUUUUGACCUAUGCAUGCAUGUUUCAGCACCAUGAAUAAAAUACUUCUGGUGUGCUUGUCACCAGUUAAUAAAAAUAUGUUUCAGCACCUAUCUGACAACGUCCCUUUUGGUUUUUCUUUUUGAAAAGUUUAAUUUACAUUAAAGUUUAAGAUCUUAUGACGCCAUCUAUCUAACUUUCUCCACUCAAAAAAAAAAGGAAAAAAAAAGAAAUAGAAAAAGACAAUUCUUCCUCAAUCAAAAUUAAAUUUUUCUGUGCGUAUCCAGAAGGAAAACAAAAAGUAAUCCUCAAGUACCACGUUUGGCAAAGCUUACAAGUGUUAGCUUCCGAUUCGCCAUUUCAAGUAGUCAGAUAGACUAUACAUUUAAUUUACCAAAAUAUAGGAGAGUAUUUUUUUUUUUUUUUUGAAAAAGAAUAUAGGAGAGGUUACAAAAAGUAAGGGAAUUCUACAAUAAUAAUGAUCCUUGCUUUUUGUGUGUUGAGGAAAGAGGUGAUUUCUUAAAUUUGUGCGAUCCCACUUUUCAUUUCAUAUACCACUUUUGAUUUCAUGUGCAACCUUAUUAAUUUGUGAAGACAGAACUUUAUAUUCUCCUACUUUCACAAUCAAUAGUUCAAUACAUAAGAAUAUCUGCAGCACAUGUGAAAGCUUGAUCAACAACAAAGGAAUUGAUUAGUUUCUAGCUCAAGUUGCCUAAUGAUUCAUAGGAAUGAAAGUUAAAAGGGCUUGACCCCGGCUCCUAUUUUUUAAUGUACAUUUACUUUAUAGGAAUAGGGUAAUAAUAUGCCAACCUACCCAAAGUUUCACGACCACGACAUGGAUCUCCCCUUGAAUUCUUGGAAGUGUAAUUUAGUGUUAAGUGUAUAAUAUGAGCUGUUAUACAUUUUUCUUAGAAUUCUAAGGGCGUUCUUGUUAUAGUGAGCAUCCACUUAAACACUAACAUCUUCCUUGUGUGCAACUGCUUCUUGUAAAACGAUCUAAGCAAGUGUCUUUAAAAUUCUUGGUCCGACUCUUAAGUCCUUGUUUUCUUCAUUUUUCCCUUAUAAUGCUUGAAAUUUUCUUUGAACAAUUAAAAGAAAAGUUGAAUAAGGACAGAUAAAGAUUAAUAUAACUUUAUAUAAGUGAAUUCUCUAUUCCUUUCCCCCUCCCUACUUUUGAAGUUCUUGUAGAUUUAUUACCAUUCGAAAUAUUUGACAAACUUGGCUCUCUCACUCUACAUUAAAUAGCUAUCGGUCAAAUUUACCAGGUUCGGAUAUAUUGCAGUCUUGUAGGACAAAGACCGACCAAUAAUUUGAUGUCAUCGGAAAUGCCUGUCGAGAAUUUACAAAGGGAACAUAUCCAGUCUCACAAAUAUAUGAAAUGGGGCAACAUAUAUAUUUGGUGAACCAUAUCCAGUCUCACAAAUUAAUCUUGAGUACAAUAAAUAUGCUGUGCUCCAAGAAUUAGACUAGAGAUGGAUCUUCUGUGGUGUAACCGGGCAAUGACCGACCAACCAGUAGGCUAUGUAUAUUGUUGUUGGAGUAGUUAGAUUCACAUUUGAGCUUUCACAUGCGAUGUUUCCCUCGCUACUACAAAAAUGUCCUUUUAUGACAUUUAAAAGCGUCAUUAUAGCUCAAUGUAAUGACGUUUGAUCUAUAAUGACGCUCUGCUAGAAACGCCGUCCAUUCCAGCGUCACUAUAAGUUUUAUGACAGUCAGAGGAGUCAUAAUUUAUAGUUCUGUUGGCAUUUGUAAACGUCAUUAUUUAUCGUUUUAAUGACACUUUAAAAUGACAAGAAAUCCUUUGGACAGAAUCUCAUACUCAAAAUGUCCCAUUUGUAGAAUAUUUUUUAAAUUCAUCAUAAUUUUAGAAAUUUCUCUGAAAGUCACCAACACACUUUGAUAAUCUUCAAAUGAAUCAUUCUCAUCUUUCGCCUUUCGAAAGGAUAAUUAUUCUUUCCUGCGAGCCCACAUCCGAAUUAGUACUAAUCAGUAUAAACUUGGCAUACCCCUAUAACUAUAAGUAGGCUUGUUGAUCGUUGGGGCCUUUAGCUUUCAAUUGUCUGUACUACUUGGUUGUACUACGAUACUAUACAGACGGAAAACUUAUAAGAAAAUAGACAAUUUGUACUACACAUUUCUCGGCGGCCAUAGGUCAGACAAUUCGUACAUCUUUUUAAUUGUUCAUAAAAUAUUUUAACCUUUUUAAUCUGUUUUUUAAGUGUAUCUAGGUAGAUUGCAUGUGGAAGCAGAGAAGAUAUCAUCUCCUCAGCCGGCAGGACUUUACCUAUGCCUUUUCUUAUCAAUUUCUUCUUUUUUUUUUUUUAAUUUCUCAAAACUCCUUAAAUUUACUACACACCUUUCUAUAGAACAAACCUCAGCUCUAAUAUCCAACUACAAGAUUAAUACUAUUUAUACUCAAACACAAAGAUUAUUACUUAUUAAAAGAACAACAUCAAACUUUAGUUUGAAACUCUGUAAAGAAAUUAUUAAAUCAAGCCUUAUUACGCUUUUAUGCUUUAGUAUUAGUAUAUGUUAAGUUAGUAGAGAGCCAGGUGUCAUUCGUAGAGUAAGUUAUUUUUCAGUUAGUAUGAUGACGACAUGAGAUACAGUCCCUUGUACGUAGUAGUCAGUACAAUAGUUGUCAGGCAGUACGGUAGUUGUAUGUGACAAGUAAGCCGCAUGGGACUACCAUGAGAGUCCCUCUGUUUCGUCUAAAGUGUGCAAUGGCCUAAGAUUCAUGAGAGUAGAAAAGCCGCAGCCUUCAUCUUCAUCGUGAGAAAUAAAAGGUUUUUUUUUUCCCCUUUGUCUCUUAAUCAAUUUCCUGAAGAUUUUCUCGUGGGUUUUUGUUGUCGAGUAAUUUCUUGAAGAUUUUCCUGUGAUGAUGGUUUGGGUCCAUCAAACUCAAAAAUACAGCAAAGAAUCUUGUUUGUUGUUUGAAUUUAAUUAUGAAUUCAUUUAUUUAUUUAUUUUGAGCAAAAGAGGUUUAUGAAUUUAAGAUAUUGAAAAACAAAAGCAUAAAUCCCAGAUUUUAUCCACAUACUACGCUCUAGUAAAAGCCUCGCUAGCAUGCAUAGUUUUUUCGGCUUCAUUGCUAUGGAGGCUCACACUGCUUUUGUUUUCCUCUCCAUUACUCAUCAAUUAUGUAUGCUAUAAAUUAUAAUAGAUGAAGCAAUCAGCAGAAAAUGCAUAUGAUAAAGUAUGUGUGUUUGAACUUAGCAAAGAACAAUAAUUUUAUUUGAUUUGGGGAGAACAAAAAAUUGCUUAUGAGUACUAAACCAGUGGUUUUCUCUUAACCAGGAACUUGUGCAAAGUAGUUUGUUUAGGCACCGAUCCUUUUGUCAAAGAAUACAAGCUUCGUUUUUCCAUGCAUCAGGAACUUUUGUACAUAUUUAUACGUGUUCUUCUUACAUUUUCUGUUUUUUUCCCUUUAAAGCGACUGCCCAGGAACUUGUCAGUUGUCACUGCCUUUUGUCUAUGCAAUUACAUUGAGCACUUGUAAUUGAGAUCAGAAGAGCAAAAUUUAAGUGGAUUAUUUGAGUCACAGUUUUUUUUUUCACUGUGCAAUAGUCUCUGCAAUGUGCAUUAUUUCAGCAGCAGGAGGUCAAAAUCACAGCAUCAGACAAUCCAGGUUCCAUGGACUGAAUUGAGGCCAUAUCAGGUUUACGUCUCUUUAGUAAGACACCCAUUUCUCUCGUAUUUCUUGACAGCGCACUCAAAUACCUGAGCAAAAUUGCAGCCUUCGCGAAGGAUUGAAAUCAAUUGAUCGCUUAGACGCUGAGUUUUGUAUAGGUCUGUCCCAUUUUGCCUUAACCAUUAAGUCAUCUUCACUUCCUCUUUAUCAUGGAUUUUCUGCUGGUCUGAUUCCUAUGCUGGCUCCAUAAACUGUUCCCGCGUUCCGCACUUCCUAAAGCAGGAAAAAAAUGCCUGGUACUGUAACUGAUUUGAAUCGAUUCUCAAAUCCUAAACUAAUGCAAGCGAAAAGUGAAAUAAUUGACAUUGCAGGAAAAAUAAAAUAAAAUAAAAAACAAAGCAUGCUCAGACUGUGAAUAUACUUCUAGAACGAGGGAAAACUGAAGUGUUAGGAUAAUCUGAGACAUUUAUGCCCACAUUUGUAAGGUAGGAAAAACUGCAUAAAUGGCAUUUGCUUAGGAGAAAAGAAAUGUCGAUGCUAAAUUUGGCUUGAUUUAUCAGAUUUCUAUUCAUUUCUUUGUAGAAAUCGAUAAACAAUAGCAGAUUGCGAAUUUCUGACCACCAACAUGGCUGCCCGUGAAUAACGUGGAAGCGUGUUCCACAUGCACCAUCUUUUUCCACAAAGACUUUGCCAUGAGAAAGAUUGAAGGAGACUUGGCAUGGAACUUUAACCUGGAUUGCAGGGCAAAGGGAAUUAUUGUGAUGGUAACAAUACGAAUUUUCAAUUAUUUGGGGGUCAAUAUAUAUAAUUACAGCACCUUUGAACUUGAAGGGUUUCACGGUUUUAUGUAUGUUUCUGCAUGGGAUCUAAAUUCAUUACCUUUCCCCCCCCCCCCUUUCUGGGAACCUUGUACAGAUUAUGGAGGAGAAGAACGUAAAUUUUUGGAUACAUAACUGCUGAUAAUGAACCAUGAAGCCUCGUUCUUGGACUGACUCUGUCAUGUGUGUUGAGGGCUAUCAUCGAUGUCAUAGUCAUUUACCGCAUAAGGACGUACAUGGAGGAAUGGCAUUUACAGCAAAUCCUCCCAGCCGCCCUUGAAAGCUUUCAAUCCGUUCGAGCUGAAACAAAUGAUCUGAGAGAUUUGAUUUGUUUGAAGAAUUAUAAACUGAAAGGAAAGAAAUGAAAAUGAUCCUAUUCCAAUGUGCACAAGGAUCCUCUUAUUUGAGCUUGACAUGCCCCAAAAUUGUAAAAAAUUUUAAAUCAAUGACAGUUUAUCAAGAACACUAAUUGUGGAAAGAAACAAAACUUCUAAUUGUGGAUUAAAUGUCAGAGGUGACAUAAAAGAAAUGUAUUCGUCCUACAGUAAAGGAUCUGUUUGAUCAAAUGACAAAGAUAUCAUCAUCUAAUUAAUAGCAAUUAAGCAUAGCAUGUGAAGUCCAAACAAGGCCAAUCUGGCUUCCUGAAUUCGGAUUGUCGGUAGUUUUGUAGUAUCUAUAGAGAUAAAUAAAAAUGAGAUAAAACGAGACUAGGAGAAAACCUUAAUACGCUACUCGUUCUUGUGGGGGAAAAAUAGUGCUCAGAUGUUAGGGAAGUAAGUUUGCGCACCAACUUUUGUCAGUCCCAACAGGAUUUUACUCAAUACAAUAACAUACGACUCGGUAGUGAAUUUUGGGAAAUUCGGCAAAAUGUUUUGGUAAACUCUAAGACGUACUUAUUAUCACCACAUGUAUAUAUUUUUUGAAAUAUAAGAUUUCUAAAAUGCUGAAUAUCUAAGAUGUAAUUUCUUUUUUUUGUGGUUUCCAAGUAUUAUAUUAUUGUCUUUAUGUAUGCUUUUUCACUGAUGUGAAUGUUCUCUUUGAUGUUAUUUAAGCAAAAUGUUUCUUUUUUUUAGUUCACUGUUCUCGCACGUCUCAUGUGCUGAUUUUAUCUUCCAUUUUAGUUAUUUUUUCAGUUUUUUUUGGUAUUAAUGAUAGGUGAAAUGAUUGAUAUUGCUGUUUUAGUUAGAUGUUAAUGAUCAUUAGUGAUGUUUCAAUUAAAAUACUAAUUUUUAACGAAAGAUGAGACUGACACUGGACCUUUUUGAGUACUUUCAUGAUGUUUCUUUGGAAUGAUUUUGGUGGUGCCCGACAACUUUAUGUGAUUCCUCUGUUUUCCAGUGCAUGAGCUGUGUGAAAACUAAAAGUUUAACAAACGCCAAAACGAUUGAGCUGACAGAAAGUUUUUUUGCGAUUGACCGAAUUAUAAACAGCAUUACAAUUGACAACCACCAAAAUUAUCAGAAUAAAUACUAAUAAUUAAUUCCAAGGUAAUCUAAUCUAAUCUUAAAUAAGGGUACACUACUUACUGCUAGUUAUCAUAAAGGGGUCAUAAAAUACUAAUAAUUAUAUUAUUGCUGUUUUGGAAUUUUAACUUACACUCUAAUAUGCCUAGACAAGGGUAAGGAGUACAGAUGCUAAUUACCUUGCCGAUACUGUGCAACCAGAUUUUUCAAUCUUUACGGUAAAAUGAAAUUUUCAUGGAUCAUUCUAACAUCACUUCUUUGGGUGCAAUUGUUCUUACAUCACGUCCUUAGAUUUUUUUUUUUUUUUUUUUUUUACCAAGCAAGUUAAGACUUUUGUGGUAAUAAAUUAACCGAAACCACAAUUGUUCUUUACAUCACGUCCUUAGAUAAGAAUGAAAUUUUUGGUGGAUUAUGGCCACGCGUAGAAAAAAAAAAUCUCAGAAACUAGACUAAGCCUAUAUUAAUUCAUAUUAUAUUUGUGCAUGGAAAUGUGUACAAGGAACAGAAAAGGACGGAUCGCAGAUGGUCUGUUAACAAAAUUUCACGCAAACAUCGAUCAAACCUUGUAUAAAAGGAUGCAAGUGACCUGGCCAAUUAACCACUGGGCUUAGCUCCCUGGCUAUCAGGAGGGACUUAAAUCCUUUCUUGGGUUGUAGGUGAGGAUUCAAAUCUCAUCUGUAAAAGAAAAAAGUUUUAAAGAUUGUAUCAUAACAUUUUCUUGAUCUAGUUGAAUUUGUAUAUCUAUUGGCCCUUGACAUAAGCUUUCUUAGGCUUUCCCUCUCCCCUAAAUUAGAAUAAAAUAGGUUAUAUCGUUGUCUUCUUAGGCUUCCCCUUUCCCCUAGAUUAGAAUAAAAUAUAGGUUAUGUUGUUGAGAAAAAAAAAAAAAAAAAGGCCGACCUAUGCAGAGGCUAGUACAUGCAAAGCCCAAAAUGCAGACCUGACAGUAUUAGUUCAUUCAGAUCCAAAAGUGGUAAAACUUCAGCAGGGAAAUGUGAAAGAAGGGAUGUCCUUCUUGGCCUCGGAGGGCUAUAUGGUGCAACCACACUUGGCACCAAACAAUCAAGCCUUGCGCUGCCGGUUUCACCCGAUAUUUCCAACUGUACCGAUGCCAGGGAGACUCCAAAUGGCAUACCGAUCAACUGUUGCCCUCCCUCCGCUGCGGGUAGCAGUGAUUAUACACCUUCUGCUCGCGAAGUCUACACAAGAAUGCCGGCUCACACGGUCAGCCAUGACUGCGUCAAAAAAUAUUCAUCUGCCAUUGCAAAAUGAAGAACCUUUCUCUGAGCGAUCCUCGUAAUUUUACCAACUAGCAAACGUCCAUUGCGUUACUGUGACGAAGGGUACUCUCAAUUGGGCUUUCCAGACAAAAAAUUGGACGUUCAUAACUCAUGGCUAUUUUUUCCGGGGCACAGAUGGUACCUUUAUUUCUUCGAAAGAAUUUGUAAAAACUUGCUUGAUGAUGAUACGUUUACUCUGCCAUUUUGGCAAUGGGACGAUUCUUCAGGCAUGCAAAUUCCACCCAUGUUUAACGAGAGCAAAUUGUCCCUAUACAAUUGCUUCCACAACCCAAAACACUUGCCUCCUAAAGUGGUGGAUUUAGCUUACAAAGGCACCGAGAGUCAAAUCCGGUACAAUUGUUGCACAAUGUACAAUAAUGCAUGUACACGAUUGGGUUGGCGGCCCUUCCCAGCCUAACAACAAGGACAUGGGAGUCCUAUAUUCAGCCGGCUGAGACCCCAUGCUCGCCAUGCCAACGUUGAUAGAAUGUGGUACAUUUAUAACAAAGUUUUGAAACGCAAAAAUAUUGAAACGCAAGAUUGGUUAAAUUCCUCUUUUAUUUUCUUCAAUGAAGCGGCGAGACCCGUUAGAGUGACGGUUAAGGACUCCACAAAUCUCGCCACGCUUGGUUAUACCUAUCCUGACUUGCAACCUUCUUGGUUAACAUGUAAACCAACAGCGCGUAGAAAUGGCCUGAACCUGACAAAAUUGUCUUUCAAUGCCCCUAAGGCUAGUGAAGUGCUGCCAAUGAAAUUAGAGAAACCCAUCAGCUUCGUGGUUGAGCGGCCUAAGAAGGCAAGGAGUGGACAAGAGAAAGCAGAGGCAGAAGAGGUGCUAAAGAUUAAGGGGAUCGAAUUUGAUAAAGGAGAAACUGUGGUGUUCGAUGUGUUUGUGAACGAAGACAAUACGAGUCCGUGUAAUCCGUGCAAGGCUGAGUCUCUAGGAAGCUCCCGCACCUUGGCGCAUGGACAUGGCAAGAAAUCUACCACUUCCCGCAGUUGUGCGAUUUCAGAGGCGUUGGAGGAAUUGGGAGCUGAUGAUUUUGACAGCAUUUUGGUCACUUUGGUCCCCAGAAGAGGUGUCGUGACCAUAGGUGGUGUCGAGAUUCCCUUUGUUCCUAAAUCUUAAAUGCAUUAAUAGCAUUGCAAAUACUACGUGCACAAUGUUGUGUGUUUGUGUAAUAUUGUAAUCAAUCGUAAGUACUACAAACUUUGAGAAGAUAUUUUACUAAAUAAUUUCGACAACCAUAACUGGAGUCCUCGUAAACUUACCUUUACAAAUGACUUUCAAUCGGGCUUCUAAAUUCAUCAUUCCUAACUCUCUCUCUCUCUCUUCCGCAUUUUGUGGGAAUGGCAACAGUAGUAUCACAUUAAAGACAGAAAGGGCCGACUUUGAAAACGAGGGCCUUUCUUUCUUUUCCUGGUUCGGGGCCGACUCACUUCGUUCGCGCCGACGAAAAAGAUUUCAGACAUUACCUGCCACCAAGGAAAUAGUAAUAGACUGCCAUCAAAUCUUCUUUUUUUUUUUUUUUGGUUGCCUACCACGGUAUUCGGGGCUUUGCCCUGAUUAAUCCGUUGGUCGAUUCGGUUCAUAUACCUGACUGUGAUGGGCGAAUCUCCCAACAAGGAUGACUGCAUACACAAGGUUUCGAAACCGAAACCUGUUUAAGCAGAACAAAACUGUUUAUCACUUGGCGCAACCCCGAUUGGUUGCCAUCAAAUCUUCUUCUAUUGUUCUUUAGUGCGACUGCAAUAGAAUGAUACCGUAUGGGUUGCGGUCUCAGUAGUCGCUGACAUUGAUAAGAAAAACAAUUGAACUCAAGAAGCAAGCAUGAUAUCAUAAAAUGUGAAUGCAAAAGGCAACAUUAAUUCGCCAUUUUUGUGUUCCACUUUUGCAACUCGAAUGUGAAUGCAAAGCUACGUAUUCCAGUCCAGAUUUACCAUGAACACACAUCAUUGGAAAUGAAAAUUUCAGUUUAUAAGAAAAAGAUAUUUGGUAGGCCAAAAACUUGUUCAAUAAUUGAAACAAACAAGGGGAGCUUAGGAAAUUUCCGGGCCAGAUAUGGGUACAGCACUUUCUUCUCGUCCCUUUGCAUAACAAUUCAAGCUUAGCAAUGAAUUUCUAGUCCCUAUCUUGAUCAAGGAGUCUGUUUGUAAGGUGUGUUUUUUCUGGUGUUUGUAUAAACUUUUACAGUAAUUUAUUGUGAAAGUUGAACAAAUUUUUUUGUAUAAAUAAGAUUUGAAAAAACUGAAAAAUUUUCAUGAUUUUUGCCUUUUGUUCUCCAUUCUUUUUUUCCCCCUUUCCUUCCUCUUUCUUCUUCCUCUCCACUCCUAUUUUGAUCUUCCUCCUCCCUCUCCAUUAUCGCCACCGCUGGUCGCCACCUCUCUCUCUCUCUCUCCCCCCCUCUUCAUCCUUGCCCCAUCCAUAUUGAUUAUAAAGUAUAAAUUCGUUAUUUCAUUUUAAAAUGUGGUGUGGCAGUCAAAUUACUACAAUGGGACCAUCAGCGGCCAUAACUAUCUCUCGUUAAAAUGUAAUUCAAAUAUUAAUAUUUUAAAAUAUAAAAUUAAAUAAGAGAAAUUUAUAAAUGCCAUUAAAUCAAAAAAAUAUCACUAAAGUAUGCAUAAAUUGCCAUUUUUUAAUGUCAUUAGAAAAGAAUUUUCUUCUAGUGUACAAUUAGUAGUGAAAUAAAGAAUCUUAGGGAAAUUAUUUGAAUUGUUUUCAUUUUCUUCACAGAGUUACUGUCCCAAAAUUACUAAAAAUUUUGGAUUGUGAUCUUUUGGACAUAUAUUUUUACAUUUUUUUCCACACAAUUUCCAAUCUCUUUUUUUUUUUUAAUCUUACAUACGUCACAUCCUUUAAAAAAAAUACUAUAAUAAUUUUUUUUCCAAAAAUUCUCCAAAAAAUGCAAUCUAAAUGGGGUCUAAUUAUUUCAAUGAAUCAUACAAUUUCAGGGUACAUCCAGACAAUAUCAAAUUGUGGGAUGAAUUUUACAAUCAUUAUUGAAAUGACACUAAUGGUCACUUUACUUGUGGUCCUUGAAUCUUAACCCAAUUAUGCAAAAUCUUGUGGUCCUUGAAUCUUAACCCAGUUAUUCAAAAUCACGUGUUUAACGCUGUUCUUCUAUUUAGCAAGAAGAAAAAUAAAAACGUCAGUGACACGGGGUCGCCAAUUGCUUCAGUAUAAGAACAGGAGCUUCCCUUAGCUUCUUCGCUACAACAUCCCCCUAAAGAAAACUAGCCAAUGGCAUCUCUUUCAACUCCCCUUCAAAGCUCCACUGCCUACUCCUCCACCUCCACUCUGUCCUCCUGCCCUUUCUCAACCAAGCCAUCACAGUUUUACCUCAGUGCCAAACGUAACUAUCGUCAGUUCACGGUUUCAUGCAAAAACAAUGAAAGCCAUGAACAAGUUGACAAUCUUGAUAGGAGGGAUGUGCUUUUGGGCUUGGGUGGCCUUUAUGGCGCCUCAAACCUCAUCAUCAACCCUUUUGCCAUGGCAGCUCCUAUAGCCGCCCCAGAAAUCUCCAAAUGCGGUCCACCGGCGGACUUACCUCCAGGAGCAGUUGUCACUGACAAUUGCUGUCCGCCGGUGCCCGGCAAAGUCAUUGACUACAAACUCCCUCCACCACCUAAGGUGAACCGUUUUAGGCCAGCUGCUCAUUUGGUCAAGAAAGACUAUAUUGAAAAACUUAACAAGGCGGUCGAGCUCAUGAAAGCUCUGCCAGCUGAUGAUCCCCGUAAUUUUACCCAACAAGCAAAUGUUCAUUGCGCUUAUUGCAAUGGUGCCUACGUCCAACCAGGCUCUGAUCAAGAAAUUUCAGUCCAUUACUCGUGGUUAUUCUUCCCUUUUCAUAGAUGGUAUUUGUACUUCUAUGAAAGAAUCUUGGGAAAGCUAAUAGGCGAUCCCAGUUUUGGACUGCCCUUUUGGAACUGGGACAACAUUGGUGGCAUGACCAUACCGUCCAUAUUUAUGGACCAAUCGUCAGCAUUGUAUAACGAAAAUCGUAACCAAAGUCAUCUGCCACCAACGGUCGUGGACUUGGGGUAUAAUGGUACGGAUAGAGAUGCAACAUGCACAGAAAGGAUAGAAAACAAUUUGGCGAUCAUGUACCGUCAAAUGGUCUCUAAUGCCACCACUGGCAGAGAUUUCUUUGGAAAGGAAUACCGGGCCGGCGAUGAGCCCAAUGCCUUUGCUGGCGCAGGGUCCAUCGAGGCCAGUCCCCAUAUUCCACUCCACAGGUGGGUCGGCGAUCCAAGGCAGCCAAAUGGUGAAGAUUUGGGUAAUUUCUACUCAGCUGGAAGAGAUGUUCUGUUCUAUAGCCAUCAUGCAAAUGUGGACCGGAUGUGGACAAUUUGGCAACAAUUGGGAGGUAAAAGGAAGGAGGUCCCCGAUCCAGAUUGGCUGAAUUCUUCCUUCAUUUUCUACGAUGAAAAUGCUCAGCCUGUCCGCGUGAAAGUUCGUGAUUCUUUUAGUAAUGAUAGAAUGGGAUAUAUUUACGAAAAGGUGGAUAUUCCCUGGCUUAAGAAUAAGCCUGUGCCCCGCGUGAGAAAAUCUAGAGUGGCUUUCACUUCCGGGGCACCACCAGCCGAUAAGGUCUUCCCUGGACCCCUUAACAAGAUCGUGAAAGUGUUGGUCAAGAGGCCCAAAUUAUCAAGAAGCAAGAGGCAAAAGGAGGAAGAGGAAGAGAGAUUGGUGGUGUACGGGAUCGAGUUUUCCAUGGACAAGUAUGUUAAGUUUGAUGUUUUCAUUAAUGAUGAAGAUGAUAAUCCAAACGAUUUUGCUAAGUCCGAGUACGUUGGGAGCUUUGCAAAUUUGCCACACAAGGUUAAAAGUGGCAUGAAAGCUAAGACUACUCAAACCUUUGAGUUGACUGAGAUUUUGGAGGACUUGGAUGUCGAAGACGACGAUGCCCUGUUGGUGACUUUGGUGCCAAAUACCGCUCUUACCAUUGAUGGCAUCAAGAUUGAGGUUGCUACUUGAUUC